UUCCAUAUACCUAGCGGCCAGGAUUCCUGGUUUUCACCCAGGUGGUCCGGGUUUGACUCCCGGUAUGGGAA
rfam:Danio rerio chromosome 15, GRCz11 reference primary assembly.